UUCCAGACUCCUACGGGAGGCAGCAGUAGGGAAUUUUGCGCAAUGGGGGAAACCCUGACGCAGCAACGCCGCGUGAUUGAUGAAGCCCUUCGGGGUGUAAAGAUCUGUCAGUGGGGACGAAACUUGACGGUACCCACAGAGGAAGCAUCGGCUAACUCCGUGCCAGCAGCCGCGGUAAUACGGGGGAUGCAAGCGUUGUCCGGAUUUAUUGGGUUUAAAGGGUGCGUAGGCGGAAUAUCAAGUCAGCGGUAAAAAUUCGGGGCUCAACCCCGUCGUGCCGUUGAAACUGAUGUUCUUGAGUGGGCGAGAAGUAUGCGGAAUGCGUGGUGUAGCGGUGAAAUGCAUAGAUAUCACGCAGAACUCCGAUUGCGAAGGCAGCAUACCGGCGCUCAACUGACGCUCAUGCACGAAAGUGUGGGUAUCGAACAGGAUUAGAUACCCGCGUAU
rnacentral:rRNA from 1 species